rnacentral:rRNA from 1 species
AACGAACGCUGGCGGCAUGCCUAACACAUGCAAGUCGAACGAGACCUUCGGGUCUAGUGGCGCACGGGUGCGUAACGCGUGGGAAUCUGCCCUUGGGUUCGGAAUAACAGUUAGAAAUGACUGCUAAUACCGGAUGAUGUCUUCGGACCAAAGAUUUAUCGCCCAGGGAUGAGCCCGCGUAGGAUUAGCUUGUUGGUGGGGUAAAGGCCUACCAAGGUGACGAUCCUUAGCUGGUCUGAGAGGAUGAUCAGCCACACUGGGACUGAGACACGGCCCAGACUCCUACGGGAGGCAGCAGUGGGGAAUAUUGGACAAUGGGCGAAAGCCUGAUCCAGCAAUGCCGCGUGAGUGAUGAAGGCCUUAGGGUUGUAAAGCUCUUUUACCCGGGAUGAUAAUGACAGUACCGGGAGAAUAAGCCCCGGCUAACUCCGUG